rnacentral:rRNA from 1 species
UACGGAGGGUGCAAGCGUUAUCCGGAAUCACUGGGUUUAAAGGGUGCGUAGGCGGUGGUGUGAGUCAGUUGUGAAAUGCCCCGGCUUAACCGGCGGAACUGCGAUUGAUACUGCAUCACUUGAAUCAGGAUGAGGUAGGCGGAAUGUGGCAUGUAGCGGGGAAAUGCUUAGAUACGCCAUAGAACACCGAUUGCGAAGGCAGAUUCCUGCAUCUGAAUUGACGAUGAGGGACGAAAGCGUGGGGAGCAAACAGG